CUGAAAGAUGAUCAGGUAGAUAGGUUUGGAGUGGAAGUGUAGCGAUACAUGGAGCGGACAAAUACUAAUCGAUCGAGGACUUAACCAA
rnacentral:rRNA from 1 species